CCUACGGGGGGCUGCAGUGAGGAAUAUUGGUCAAUGGCCGGAAGGCUGAACCAGCCAAGCCGCGUGAGGGAAGAAGGCGCAAAGCGUCGCAAACCUCUUUUGCCGGGGGACAAAAUGCCGGACGGGUCCGGUUCUGAGGGUACCCGGAGAAAAAGCAUCGGCUAACUCCGUGCCAGCAGCCGCGGUAAUACGGAGGAUGCGAGCGUUAUCCGGAUUCAUUGGGUUUAAGGGGUGCGUAGGCGGGCCGUUAAGACGGCGGUAAAAUAGCGGGGCUCAACCCCGCCGAGCCGUUGGAACUGGGGGACUUGAGUGCGGCGGAGGUACGCGGAAUGCGCGGUGUAGCGGUGAAAUGCAUAGAUAUCGCGCAGAACCCCGAUUGCGAAGGCAGCGUGCCGGGCCGACACUGACGCUGAGGCACGAAAGCGUGGGGAUCGAACAGGAUUAGAUACCCUUGUAGUC
rnacentral:rRNA from 1 species